UUAAUGCUCUGUGGGGAAAUAUUGCCACAAAGAUAAAGAAAUCAGAGACUGGGGAAAACUCACUGGGGAGACAGAGACUCUAGGGGGAAAAAAGAGUUAUGCGUAGGCCAGACUACGACUUAAAACUACUGGGGGACUCGAGGAAUUCCAUACAAACAUGGAAAAGACUUAGCCGGGGAAACAACAACAUCUGCAGGGGAUAC
rnacentral:lncRNA from 1 species